AAAAUUAUCAUAUUAGAAAACCCCUUUAAAAACGAUUGUAAAAAAUGCAAACCCUUUUUAAAAUACCUUGUAAAUCAUUAUACGCCACAUACUUAUGCUUUUUAACGAUUGUAAAUCAAGUUAAACACUUUUAAAAGCUUUUAAAAUCCCUUGUAAAUCAUUCUAUGCCACUAAGUUCUGCUUCUAAAACGAUUGUUAAUCAAUUAAACCCUUUUUAAUAGCUUUUAAAAUCCCUUGUAAAUCAAUCCUUACCACUUUCUAAUCCGUUAAAAACGAUUGCAAGUCAUGUAAAUCCUUUUUAAAAUACCUUGUAAAUCAUUUUUACCACUUUCUAAUCUUUUUAAAUUGUUUAUAAACCACGUAACCCUUUUUAAAAUCCCUUUUGUAAAUAACUUAAUGAUGCUUUAAAAACUAUAUGUAAUUCAUGGGUUACCAAUUUUACAAGGAU
rnacentral:sRNA from 1 species